rnacentral:rRNA from 1 species
UACGUAGGGUGCGAGCGUUAAUCGGAAUUACUGGGCGUAAAGCGCGCGUAGGUGGUUCAGUAAGUUGGAUGUGAAAUCCCCGGGCUCAACCUGGGAACUGCAUCCACAACUGCUGAGCUAGAGUACGGUAGAGGGUGGUGGAAUUUCCUGUGUAGCGGUGAAAUGCGUAGAUAUAGGAAGGAACACCAGUGGCGAAGGCGACCACCUGGACUGAUACUGACACUGAGGUGCGAAAGCGUGGGGAGCAAACAGG